CCGGGGCCACCGGCCCCCAUGGAGCACUGAGCGGCCCCCGCGGACGCCCCCAGUGAUCCUGACCCCAAACAUCAGAUCCUGACUCCAAACAUCAAGACCCAGACCCCAAAACUCGGAAUUCUGACCUCAAACAUCAAGAUCCUGGCCCUAAACAUCGGAAUUCAGACCCUAAACCUCGGAUCCUGACCCCAAGCAUCUGAAUUUUGACCUCAAGCAUCGAAAUCCUGACCCCAAACCUCGGAUCCUGACCCCAAACCUCGGAUCCUGACCCCAAACCUCGGAGUUCUGACCCCAAACCUCGGAUCCUGACC